rnacentral:lncRNA from 1 species
CCCCUUUAUCCAUCUUCUAGUCCCAGAGUAGCCAACAUUCUCUCUGAUGUUUAUUCCGGUCUCCCUUCAGUGAUCCGAAUGGAAGGGCCUCUUGUGAAGGAAAAUUUGCAUGAAAUAAACUGGGGAGGAUGAAAACGUUAUGUUCCCCAAGCUGUUUUCUUCUCUCUCCCUCCACUCGUCCAGUCUGCCUCUAGCUGCUCUGUGAUACCUUCAUCGCCAUUCUGGGAGGGAAACUGAGGGCAUUUCUACUAUCUUACCUCAAAGGAGUGAUAAUUGUAAUAAAUGGCCAGUAUUCUUCAAAAGUUGCAGGAACUCUCUUCUUGCCUUGGUCUUCCAGUCUCUACAUCUUUGCCUACAUCUUUUCCCUACAGUAGUGGAGUGUGGUUUGGUGGACCUGGAGUGAGCAUCAGCAACGUGGGCUUAGCCUGGUAUAGUAGAAGGACAACCGGACUUGAAUUGAAGUUGGCCUCUUCAGCUUGAAUACCUGAAUGACCUGAGGAAAUAAACUUGUAUUAAGUGCUUAUCA